UUGAAGUAAGAGUGAGUGGAGAGCUUCAGUAUUAGCAAUCACCGACUGAUGAAGCUUUGUGUGAUCAGUCACUUAGUUAUUAUCGACUGAGAGGAACAAAAGAAGAGAAGUGAGAGCGACUGAAACUUCUUUCUCAUCUUCAUUUCCGAAGCCGUGCGAAAGAGUGAGAGUGAAGUAGCAAUUCUGGUGCCUUCCAGCCACAACCGAGUGAGUGAUAAGAGGAGGAAGUCUGGAGUGAUCACCGAGAGAAGGAAUGAGAACCGACAGCAGGCUUCACCAUUUCUUCAUCCUUUUAUCAUCCCAAACCGAUAGAAGUGAGUGAAAGAGGAGAAACCAGCUUGCAACUUCAGAUAUCAGCAGCAACUGUGAGGAAAAUAGUUGGAGCAAGAGCUAGAGGAACCGAAACAGAGGAAGUUGGAGUAAUCUGCCAUUAUCGAAUUUAAGGGAAAAAAGGUAAAGAAAUUCUGUAAUCACCUUUUGUUUACGAGAUAUCAGAGAGUAGAUUGAAUGCAUGUUAGUUUAGCAAGGGAAUAACAAGUUUUAACCAAAGGAAAAAUCUGUUAAAGAGGAAAAACUUGGAACAGGAUUGAAGUGCAGGAACGGGGAGUUAUUAUCUAAUGUUGCAGCCUGUGAUUAGUGUAAAACUGGAAACUAAUGGUAGAUUUUGCAUGUAAUACGCUGGUCUCUGUUGUUUGAGAGGUUUAGUUGAAGAAAACUUGGGGAAAAGUUGGAUUUUGGAUGGAAACCAAGGGAAGUUUUCUGCUGCAAAAUUUUCCAGCUUAUCCGAGAGAGAAAAUGGAUAGAUUCCUAGCUGUUUUCAUGAUUUUUGGUCUUGAUUAUCUAUGUUAAACUGUAAUAUAUGAUAUAUAAGAGCUUGGUCUGAACAUGCAUGAAAGAUUUGAGCAUGAACUGAAGAGAUUAUUAGAGAGAAAAAUUGUGUUAAGAUUGCUGCUAUAAUUUUGGAAAAAAAUGCCGAGGGAGGAAAACUGAGAGAUGAACCAGUGUUGUUCUGUUUUGUCCUUGGCUGCCAUCUUGUGUGUUUGCUGAGGGUACUCUGUAGUUUAGCAACCAACUCUUGCAUGUGGAUUUUAACGAACAAAAAUGAAGCAAUCUGUUGAGAGAGAGAAGGAUAGCCGAGAGGGAGGGAAUUAAGUGAGAACCAUUUUUCCUUUCCAAUUUCAAUUCUGUGAACUCUCUUACCUGACAUUCGAUGAUACUCUGUAGUUUAAUCAGUAUAUUAACUCAAUGAAUUGGGUUUAAACUGAAUGAAUUAGGGAGGAAAAGCUAUGAAAUGUGUAGUUCCUUACUUCACGGCCGGGAGAGAAGAAAAAAAAAUAGACUGAUCAGUUUUCUUUUCAUCUAAGUGAACUGCACCAUCUUUUGUGUUAUGUACAAGGCUCAUUUGUAGUUUAAUAAACGUGGUUAACAUGUCUAGUUGGGAUACAAACUUGGAAGGAGGAACUUGAGUGAAACGGCAAACAUUGGACCGAUAUAUACAUAGCUAAGGGAUUGCUUAAAAGCUGUGAUGGUUAAGACUGAUUUGUGUGCAUAGUUUGCACAAAACAUUGGUUGCAAUUAAAUGUUUCUUAUCCUAAUUCAUGUUAGAUUAAAUGUAAGUUAAGUAGUUGGUGAUUUAAUUAAGUGAAAAAUGAACUUAUUGGAUGAAAACUUGAAUUGAAGUUUUGUUGCUGAAUUUAUGUAGAUAGGUUGUAUGGCAAUGAGUUAAAACUUAUUUGAUAUUUUAUAAACUCUGAAGUAAUUUGUUAUGGCCGUAUUCAUGAAAUGACUUCUAAUCGCUUAAAAUUGGCUUUCUUAGUAAUUCAAAGACUAUAAAUUGUGAGAGGUGAAGGUUGUGGACUAAGUUAAUUUACAAAUAACUUAAAGUUUAGUUAGUUUAAAAAGGGAAUGGAGUAUCUAUAAGCCAUAAUUGAUAUUGGAUUGAGAAAGUAUAUUGGAAUGAAUGAGUAUAUAAGUUAAACUUGAAGAUAGGUAUGUUUCAUGGUUUGAAAAUGAUAAAGUUAAUAAGUUUUGAAAAUAAAAGAAUAUUAAGAAUGUUAAAUUUAUAUAUUAAGGUCAAACUUGAUUUUAAUAGUUUAAAUAAUAAAGUAAGAAUGAUAAGUGAUCACUUACGAAUUAUAAAUUUACCAUUGAAAUUAUUAAUUUGCCCAAGAAGUAGCUGUGAGCCAGGAAACCAACCCAAGGCUCAAGAGUAAUUUACUUGGAUAAUUGGUGAGUAUUUUCCGAAUUUAUGUGUUAAACUGCUUAUGUGUACCUAACUGAAAUUAUGUAACAAAUGUGCUUUUUAUGAAUUAUUACUAAAUGAUUCAGUGUAAAGUGUAUCUCAAUUGUCCCUCGCCUUCUAAGUCGGGAGUGUACUUUAUCGCACUCGACUUAGUUAAGUUUGAAGGUCGAUAAUUGACUGAAUGUUACUGUAAGUGUGCAUGAAUGUAAGCCGUAUGUGUUCCUUGCCGCAUGGGCUGAACUGGGCCCCAAAACCCUCUGUUCAACGGACUAUUCGAACCAACAAAGGGCUUGGUUGGGUAGGACGGUAGCUUUGGGUAAAUGUUUCAGUAUACUCGAGUAUUACCACGAGGUUGGGAGAUCAUUGCACUAAUUACUGAAUGUAGGGGAUUGUUUAUUGUUUUGGAGGACAUAAGGAGGUGAAUUGGGAGAAAGUACAGUGAUAUUGAAAUGAAUGUGCAAUGAUAUUGAAAUGAAUGUACAAUGACAGUGAAAUGAGUGUCUCUUGACACUGAAAUGAAUGCUCAAUGGCAUUGAAGUGGUUCUAAUGCGAGCAUUGUAUCCUUUUAAAAGCGAUUGUAUAGUGAAGUGUUCUCUCAAUUGUUUAAUGAAAGUGAUUGUAUAGUGAAAUGUGCACUACUUACUUAAUUGUACUGAUUUAAGUGUUUAUUAAAUGUUACUUGCUCGGCAAGACUCACUGAGCUUUAGCUCAACCCUUUAGUUUUGUUGUCCUUACAGGAGUUGGUGGUUGGGAAACGAAUGAGGGAUCUUAGGAAGUUAACGUGAAGACUUUUGUGAUUGUAAAUCCUUUAGUUUCAUAUUAUAGUUGAAACUUUUGUAUUGAUCUUAGUGUUGUAAAAGAUUUGAGUGUUUGGUUUUGGUCUAUCAAAAUGUUAUCUCUGAAGUUAAUGUAAGUGAAUGAGCCCCGGAGAGAGCCAAGCAGGCGAUCCGCUAACUUUUAGGAUAUGCCCUAGGAGAAGGUGGGGUCGUCACAAAAGGGAUCUUCUAUAGUGCCACCAAAAUCACCAUUAUCAUAGAUGUGUUUCCUUUUUGCUUCUUUUUUCACUCCAAAACUAGUCUGGAGCUAUAAAAUUCACCUUAUUGAAAGGCCAUAACAUGUUUGGUG
rnacentral:lncRNA from 1 species